rnacentral:rRNA from 1 species
GACGAACGCUGGCGGCGUGCUUAACACAUGCAAGUCGAACGGAAAGGCCCUGCUUUUGUGGGGUGCUCGAGUGGCGAACGGGUGAGUAACACGUGAGUAACCUGCCCUUGACUUUGGGAUAACUUCAGGAAACUGGGGCUAAUACCGGAUAGGAGCUCCUGCUGCAUGGUGGGGGUUGGAAAGUUUCGGCGGUUGGGGAUGGACUCGCGGCUUAUCAGCUUGUUGGUGGGGUAGUGGCUUACCAAGGCUUUGACGGGUAGCCGGCCUGAGAGGGUGACCGGCCAGAUUGGGAAGGAGAGAAGGCCCAGGGUCCCUGGGGAGACGGGGGGGGGGAAAAUUGGGCAAGGGGGGGUGGGGGAAGGAGGCACCGCGCGGGGAGGGAUAGCGGGCUUGGGGGUUAAAACCGUUUUCGCCUGGGGCGAAGGGUGGGAGGGGGGAUAGUGGGAAGAAGCCCCCGCAAAACACG